rnacentral:sRNA from 1 species
UUCGCUCGCGGUCUGUGGUAUAAAAUGCGCCGCUUUCGGGGACGACCCCGUCAGCACUUAACCCACACACGUGUCGACACGAUGACCUGGGUGCCCCGAGUUGCAGAAUUCGCGGGUUGGUCAUUGGGAUACGUGGAGGCCCAACC